rnacentral:rRNA from 1 species
UACGAAGGGGGCUAGCGUUGCUCGGAAUCACUGGGCGUAAAGGGUGCGUAGGCGGGUCUUUAAGUCAGGGGUGAAAUCCUGGAGCUCAACUCCAGAACUGCCUUUGAUACUGAGGAUCUUGAGUUCGGGAGAGGUGAGUGGAACUGCGAGUGUAGAGGUGAAAUUCGUAGAUAUUCGCAAGAACAUCAGUGGCGAAGGCGGCUCACUGGCCCGAUACUGACGCUGAGGCACGAAAGCGUGGGGAGCAAACAGG